GAGUAGCUGGGACUACAGGCGCCCGCCAUCACGCCCGGCUGCUUUUUUUGUUUUAGUAGAGAGGAGGUUUCACCGUGUUAGCCAGGAUGGUCUCAAUCUCCUGACCUCGUGAUCCGCCCGCCUCGGCCUCUCAAAGUGCUGGGAUUACACGCGUGAGCCACCGCGCCUGGCCUGAAGAAAGAAGUCAUUAAAGAAGCAACCCAUGGCAAAACUAGUUAUUUUCUUAAAACAGUAGGAAGAAGAAAAGCUUUUUGAAUGAAUCACUUCUCAUCUUCUCCGAAGUUGGAAGCAUCAAGAAUCUAAAUAAGCAUUUAUGACGGCUGGCAUGAAUAUGGGGAAGAUAGAAUGGGAGUCCUAGUUGACCUUCAUAUAAUUUUUAGAAGAUGGAGCACUUCAACUUCUUCCACUCAUGAAAAGAGAGGUGACAGGUGAAGACAGAACAAGAAAACAAACCAAGAAUUUCCCCUCACCAGCCACCAGCUCUGCCAGCAACUUGAUCUUAGACUUCCCAGCCUCCGUAACGCCUCUGCUUAUAAUCUGUCAUGGAUUGGAAAACUAGAAAAAGCAGUUUACAGAGUAUAACAAACUUUGGAGGAGUUAAUCGACUCUAAGUAAAAGAGUAUCUAGCACGGCUGUGGAACAAAGGAGAGACUCACAAACUGUUGAAAGAAUAAAUGAAUGAAUGAAUUCUGUUCAUGAGCUUUAAUAAAACAGCUCUGAGUAGUAACAGUGGAUCAAAUUUAGGCUUCUUGAUGCAGGCAUGGUGUAGAUUACUACUUCUGUAUUGUCCCAGGAGCUCAGCACAUUCCUGCAGAGAUGAUAGGAGCUCAUCUGAUACUUGUCAGCUUUGAAUAAACUCCAGUCCCCAAGAGAGAGAAUGAGAAUCACCGGAAUACGAAACUUCCCUGUUGGACUUCCCAACAUUCUUGAAUGCACCAAGAUAGCCUCUUGCUGUGAGAUUAAUAAAUGAAUAAAUGCCUCCAUAUUUUUCAAAUCUGUGAAGUUAACAACAUGUAGAUUUUUUUGCAUAUUUAAAAACUGCAACUAAAUCUUAAUGCCUCUGAAGCAGAUGGAAGAAAAUAAUAGGCUUCCAUUAACUGUGUCAAAUUGUAUAGGUCUUGGCCAUCACUGGUCCUGUUGUGAUGAAGGUUUUUUGCCCUUGGAUAUAAUUUAAUUUUCAAUUCUUCUAAUUAUGGUACUUCAGAACAUCAAUAUUUGAGAUGAACUUCUCUAGUGUCAAGGACUGAUUUGAGUUGUGUAAACCCUGAAUAUCUGAGACAGGUCUCGAUUAUUUUAGAAAGUUUAUUUUGCCAAGGUUGAGGAUGUGUGCCUGUGACACGGCCUCGGGAGGUCCUGAGGACAUGUGCUCAAGGUGGUCAGAGCACAGCUUUGCUUUAUACAUUUUAGAGAGACAUGAGACAUCAACCGACAUAUGUAAGAUGAACAUUGGUUCCAUCUGGAAAGGCGAGACAACUUCAAACGAGGAGGGGGCUUCCAGGUCAUAGGUAGAUAAGAGACAAAUGGCUGCAUUCUUUUGAGUUUCUGAUUAGCCUUUCCAAAGGAGGCAAUUAGAGUGAGCAAAAUGAACAAAAUCAAUUAUUUUGAUUCUGAACAAAAUGGGAGGCUGGUUUUCCCUAAGCAGUUCCCAGCUUGACUUUUCCCUUUAGCUGAGGGAUUUGGGGGGCCCAAGAUUUAUUUUUCUUUCACCGUUGUAUCAAACUACACAGGCGGCCUUGGAAACCAUCACAGUUGAGAGUAGGUAACACCCAUUUGUUGCAUAGUUUUGUGCUCCACACUCUUAUCUACAAAAUUAUGAAUUUUUUUACAUAUAUUAAUUUCAGAAAAACUAAAAAUAAAACAAAGUAGUUUCAAAC
rnacentral:sRNA from 1 species